AUUGCAGGCNGCAACCCGCCCUGCAUGAAGUCGGAAUUGCUAGUAAUCGCGGAUCAGCAUGCCGCGGUGAAUACGUUCCCGGGCCUUGUACACACCGCCCGUCACACCAUGGGAGCCGGUAAUACCCGAAGUCAGUAGUCCAACCACGUGAGGACGCUGCCGAAGGUAGGAUUGGCGACUGGGGUGAAGUCGUAACAAGGUACC
rnacentral:rRNA from 1 species